UGGAAGCGAGGAAGAGCAAUAUUUCUUCAACCUUCGAGAAGCAAAGUAUUUGAAGUGGUAAAAGAUUCAAAAGAGCAACGCUCUCUGGCUACUGGAAGGCCACAGGAAAGGAUAAAUCGAUCGUAGCCUCCCGGUGCAACCAGCUUGUGGGGUUGAAGAAGGUUUUAGUCUUCUACAGGGGAAAGCCCCCGCAUGCAUCUCCAACUGAUUGGAUCAUGCAUGAGUACCGCCUCGCUGCUGCCUGAAACCAGUGCCUUCAGCUUUUCCCCUAAGAAAAUUCUCAGCUCAUAGAUCCAUGGCUCAACCAAAGAAUGGGUGGUGUGCCGGAUUUUUCAGAAGAGAAGAGCAACUAGGAUUGAUGCAGAGAUCGCACCAUACUGCAACUACAGGCGAAUUCGAAGCAACAUUGAGCACGUAGAUCCUGGUGCUUCUUUAUCUUUGAGCUGUGUGGACAGAUCUUUCAGAGGAUGGAGAGGAAGGUAGCAGCCGUAGCAUGGCUUCAUCUUCAAAUGGAAAAGAGGUGUAGAAUGGUUUUCUGCAAUGUAUCAGAACUUUCAUUUCAGAAAAAAAAAAAAAAAAAAAAAUCCAACUCGAAUAACCUUGGAGCUGAGCUCUAGCACUUGUAGCCUCUGAAACUCUUGUAAUCGCUUUCUUCGAACGGUGUUUCUUCUUUUUUCAAAAGCAAAUUCUUCCGAACAGUUCAGAAUUAAGUGAACUCAGAGCAGAAGAAGUUCUUA